rnacentral:rRNA from 1 species
CGUUUUUUAAAUGGGAAGAACAACAAGAAACACCCUUAGGCGGGAACAAUGGAGGGCAAUUCUGUCCCACCCCCCGCGUAAUUCCAGCCCCAAUAGCGUAUAUAAAGUUGUGCAGUAAAAAGUUUGUAGUUGAACUUGGGCCGGGUGGCCGGUCCGAUUUUUUCGUGUACUGGAAUGCACCCGGGCCUUUCUUUCUGGCUAACCCCAAGUCCCUGUGGCUGGCGGCGAACCAGGACUUUUACUUUGAAAAAAUUAGAGUGUUCAAAGCAGGCGUAUUGCUCGAAUAUAUUAGCAUGGAAUAAUGGAAUAGGACGUUUGGUUCUAUUUUGUUGGUUUCUAGGACCAUCGUAAUGAUUAAUAGGGACGGUCGGGGGCAUCAGUAUUCAAUUGUCAGAGGUGAAAUUCUUGGAUUUAUUGAAGACUAACUACUGCGAAAGCAUUUGCCAAGGACGUUUUCAUUAAUCAAGAACGAAAGUUAGGGGAUCGAAGAUGAUCAGAUACCGUCGUAGUCUUAACCAUAAACUAUGCCGACUAGGGAUCGGGUGGUGUUUUUUUAGUGACCCACUCGGCACCUUACGAGAAAUCAAAGUCUUUGGGUUCUGGGGGGAGUAUGGUCGCAAGGCUGAAACUUAAAGGAAUUGACGGAAGGGCACCACCAGGAGUGGAGCCUGCGGCUUAAUUUGACUCAACACGGGGAAACUCACCAGGUCCAGACACAAUAAGGAUUGACAGAUUGAGAGCUCUUUCUUGAUUUUGUGGGUGGUGGUGCAUGGCCGUUCUUAGUUGGUGGAGUGAUUUGUCUGCUUAAUUGCGAUAACGAACGAGACCUUAACCUACUAAAUAGUGGUGCUAGCAUUUGCUGGUUGUCCACUUCUUAGAGGGACUAUCGGUUUCAAGCCGAUGGAAGUUUGAGGCAAUAACAGGUCUGUGAUGCCCUUAGACGUUCUGGGCCGCACGCGCGCUACACUGACGGAGCCAGCGAGUCUAACCUUGGCCGAGAGGUCUUGGUAAUCUUGUGAAACUCCGUCGUGCUGGGGAUAGAGCAUUGUAAUUAUUGCUCUUCAACGAGGAAUUCCUAGUAAGCGCAAGUCAUCAGCUUGCGUUGAUUACGUCCCUGCCCUUUGUACACACCGCCCGUCGCUAGUACCGAUUGAAUGGCUUAGUGAGGCCUCAGGAUCUGCUUAGAAGAGGGGGCGACUCCACUUCAGAGCGGAGAAUCUGUCGUAUCUUACUGCGA